rnacentral:rRNA from 1 species
AUUGAACGCUGGCGGCAGGCCUAACACAUGCAAGUCGAACGAGUGGCGGACGGGUGAGUAUUGUCUGGGAAACUGCCCGCUGGAGGGGGAUAACUACUGGAAACGGUAGCUAAUAUCGCAUAUAAUCGGAUGUGCCCAGAUGGGAUUAGCUAGUAGGUGUGGUAACGGCGCACCCAGGCGCCGAUCCCUAGCUGGUCUGAGAGGAUGACCAGCCACACUGGAACUGAGACACGGUCCAGACUCCUACGGGAGGCAGCAGUGGGGAAUAUUGCACAAUGGGCGCAAGCCUGAUGCAGCCAUGCCGCGUGUAUGAAGAAGGCCUUCGGGUUGUAAAGUACUUUCAGCGAGGAGGCGUUACUCGCAGAAGAAGCACCGGCUAACUCCGUGCCAGCAGCCGCGGUAAUAC